AAUAUUCUUGAGUCUUGCAAAAAGACGCCCUUGACAGUUAUAAUGCACAUUCUUUACAUUUUUACAUUCUUCUUUUGAUACGCCUUCUUCCGCUCUCUCACGAGAUAGUAGACACAAACUAAAAACAAAAAAUGGCUGUCAAAAGUUUAUUUCAAGAAGUCUGUUCUCCACAACCUCAAAAGAAGCCUACUGGGGGUCGAGACUGAAAGAUACCAAGCAAGUCUUUGUAGGUAUAAUUGACAGUGCUAAGCGUUGUCUUGCUGCCAGAGAUGCAUGCAUAUCGCAUUGGCCCAACAUGAGGAUCUGACAAACUGAUGCUGUUGUUGAAGAUGUGGACAUAAUAACUCAAGUCGCGUUGAAGGACGCUUUGAAGGACUGCGACUGCCUUUGCUUGUUGACAGUCUCCCUGGGUACACCAUCAAUCUAUAAUCGAAGUUUCGGUGAAUUUCCACAAUGACAGUUUCAAUGCCGUCUAUUAUGCAAGAAAGCAAGCUUCCUAGCUCUUCCACAACGUUCCCUGGAGUAUGCUCACUGUAGCUGACCUGGAGCUGAAAAGAUUCCUUUAUUGUGCAUAGGCUUUUGCUGUAUCUAUUCAUAAAGUUUUUGUCAGCCAUUAUGAUAAUAAUUUUAUUUUUUUUGUUUUUUGUUUCUGCUUCUGGUAAAAACGAAAAACUACCAAGAAUGUAUUUCCCUUCCCUUUG